AGAGUUUGAUCCUGGCUCAGAUUGAACGCUGGCGGCAUGCUUUACACAUGCAAGUCGAACGGCAGCACGGGUGCUUGCACCUGGUGGCGAGUGGCGAACGGGUGAGUAAUGCACCGGAACGUACCCAGUAAUGGGGGAUAACACAUCGAAAGAUGUGCUAAUACCGCAUACGCCCUGAGGGGGAAAGCGGGGGAUCGUAAGACCUCGCGUUAUUGGAGCGGCCGAUGCCGGAUUAGCUAGUUGGUGAGGUAAGAGCUCACCAAGGCGACGAUCCGUAGCUGGUCUGAGAGGACGACCAGCCACACUGGGACUGAGACACGGCCCAGACUCCUACGGGAGGCAGCAGUGGGGAAUUUUGGACAAUGGGCGCAAGCCUGAUCCAACCAUGCCGCGUGAGUGAAGAAGGCCUUCGGGUUGUAAAGCUCUUUGGCAAGGAAAGAAAACUUAUCU
rnacentral:rRNA from 1 species